AUUAUACUCCCUUCAUUCGAAAAUACUUGUCAUCAAAAUGGACAAAAAGGGAUGUAUCUAAAACUAAAAUACAUCUAGAUACAUCCCUUUUAUCCAUUUUGAUGACAAGUAUUUCCGGACGGAGGGAGUAUAUA
rnacentral:pre_miRNA from 1 species